rnacentral:rRNA from 1 species
UGAACGCUGGCGGCAGGCCUAACACAUGCAAGUCGAGCGGAUGACAGGAGCUUGCUCCUGAAUUCAGCGGCGGACGGGUGAGUAAUGCCUAGGAAUCUGCCUGGUAGUGUGGAAUAACUGCCCGAAAGGGUAGCUAAUACCGCAUGUUGAGCCGACAUCAGUGUCGUCUCCAAAGCAGAAAUGCGCUAUGGGCGGGGCCUGCGUUCGAUUAGCUAGUUGGUGGGGUAACGGCUCACCAAGGCGACGAUCGAUAGGUGGUCUGAGAGGACGAUCACCCAGACUGGGACUGAGACACGGUCCAGACUCCUACGGGAGGCAGCAGUGGGGAAUAUUGGACAAUGGGCGAAAGCCUGAUCCAGCCAUGCCGCGUGUGUGAAGAAGGUCUUCGGAUUGUAAAGCACUUUAAGUUGGGAGGAAGGGUUGUAGAUUAAUACUCUGCAAUUUUGACGUUACCGACAGAAUAAGCA